AGGACGGAGGAAGGUUUUAGCAGGUUGUUGGCUCCAGUGUCUCGAUUAGGAUAUGGUCUGAAAUAUAUUCAUAUUCACAUUCUCAUAAAGUAUGAGAAUAAAAGAAUUGCCAGAAAGAAGCUUGGAAUAAUAAUAACUCUUCACUACUUCUCUUAAUAACAGCUGGUGGGAGGCUUUCUCCUAUUUACAAAUCCAUUGUCAUUCUUCCACUUACCAGCCAGGCUGUUUCGCUUGAAUCAUCAUGCGAUAUGUACAUUCAUCAUGGAAGGUAUAUACUAGCAGUUGCAUGGUGUUCUGGUUGUUUUGUUCUGGGUAGUUUUCCUUUAGUUAAUUAUCAAGUGCUUACUAUGUAAUAAUCAAUGAGUAGCUAAUUGGAAGCAAGAGAGAAUGAAAUGGGUAUUAUUCAGAUAGUGUUUUUAAUGAAAAGCAUAGACGUAGUACUGUGGGGAAAUAUCACUAAAUAGCAAGAGAUUUCAUCUGUGUGUGUGUGUGUGUGUGUGUGUGUGUGUGUUUACAAAAGGAUUCAUUUAAGCCACUCAUAAACUAAAUCCAGGUAUGUGAAUCUUUUCUUUUUUUUUAGACUCCUCCCAAUGGGUAAACAUUGGAAGACACCAGGAGGGAAGCCAAGCCUCUAGAGAUUGCUCAGGAACCCAAACCACCCCAAAUGGAGCCGGAAGGUCUGUCAAUUCCCAGAGAGGGAGGAAAUGGUAGACCAGGACCCUGCUGUACUUGACUGGACUCCAGGCUCAGAGUUCCAAUUUGCCCACGGCAGAACUUGGCUGCAGGCUUCAGGUCAAGUUCAGGUCUGUUUCACAGUGUUUAUUCUGGGCCCAGGCUGAAGGGGGCAGUGGCUUCCUGGGAAAUUCGUGUCUUAUGGCUAUCACAGAAGCCCUCAGAGCUAAGUUAAGCCUUUCAAACUUUCAAGACCUCAGAGUGCAUCGCGAUGUCUCAAAUUCCAUUGGCCAUUCUAAUAAUGUGGCCAAGCACACAUCAAUAGGUCAGGACAUAUUCCCUGUACUUGAAGGGUGGGCUCUGCAAUGUUAUGACAAAGGGGAGUGAAGAGUCACGACCAAGUCUUUCAAUCUCAUCUACCGUAGUGGUGAAGGGCACAGGCUUUGGUGCCAGAAAGAAGAGUUGGUUUGAACCCCUGCUUCUGUGACACUGGGGAAAUUACCAAAUACAGAGUUACUCUUCCUCAUUGUUGUGUUGAGAUGAUCCUCACCAAAAAUGAAUUUUAGGAGUCAACUUUCAUAUUUGGUUUAGAGGAAACCAAUAGAAGUCAAAUGUCUUUUCUUUUUUUUUUUUUUUUUUGGCACAGCUUCCCACUCUGUCACCCAAGCUGGAGUGCGGCGGUGUGAUCUCGGCUCACUGCAGCCUCCACCUCCCAAGUACAAGUGAUUCUCCUGCCUCAGCCUCCUGAG
rnacentral:lncRNA from 1 species